rnacentral:misc_RNA from 1 species
AUGGCGCGAAUCGUCGAGAGCAGUUUUGUGCCUAUCGCCGUGGGCGUGGUUGCCGUAGUCGCCGGCGCCCUCAUCGUCCACUAUUUCCUGAACAGGAAGUCCACCAAACCCCGCCGGGAACCCAAUCGCACCGCCCGUCUCCGCACUCUGGUGGAUCCCAACGACAAAUACCUGCUGCCCCUCGUGGAGAAGGAGGUGCUCAGCCACGAUACCCGACGAUUCCGCUUCGGAUUGCCCUCCAAGCAGCAUGUCCUUGGCCUGCCGGUGGGUCAGCACAUCCAUCUGAUCGCCACCAUUGACAACGAACUGGUGAUCCGUCCGUAUACGCCCAUCUCGUCGGACGAAGAUGUCGGCUACGUGGAUCUGGUGGUCAAGGUCUACUUCAAGGACUCGCAUCCCAAGUUCCCGGCCGGCGGCAAGAUGACCCAGCAUUUGGAGAAAAUGGAACUGGGAGAUAAGAUCUCCUUCCGUGGUCCCUCCGGACGGCUGCAGUACCUCGGCAACGGCACCUUCUCCAUCAAGAAGCUGCGCAAGGAUCCGCCCAAGAAUGUCAACGCCAAGCGGGUGAACAUGAUUGCCGGCGGCACUGGCAUCACUCCCAUGCUGCAGUUGGUCCGCGAGGUCCUCAAGCGCAGUGACAAGGAUAAGACCGAACUGGCGCUUCUGUUUGCCAAUCAGAGCGAAAAGGACAUUCUUCUCCGCGACGAACUGGACGAACUGGCUCAAAAGCAUCCCGAGCAGUUCAAGGUCUGGUAUACCGUGGACAAGGCGGCUGAAGCCCUCAAACGGAUGCCGCGUGGAACGGGGAAUGCCCGAUUCAUAGCCUGGUCGUACAACACCGGCCACGUUAACGACGACAUGAUGCAGAGGCAUCUGUUUGCCCCGGAUCCGGAUACGUUGUGCCUGCUCUGCGGUCCGCCGCCGAUGGUCAACUAUACGUGCAUACCCGGAUUGGAGCGUCUGGGCCAUCGGUCCGAGCAGCGCUUUAGCUAUUAGGAUGCAGUGGUGGCCACUCCACUGACCACUAUUUACUCUCCCUGGGUUUUGCUUUCAUUUCACAAUCCCCCCCCAAGGCCAGCGGGAAAGAUUGCGCAGUGAUGGGAGAGGAGGCUGGCCAUAUAGCGUGGGCUUCAUCAACGAGGACAUGAUCGCCGCCCACCUCCUGCCCGCCUCGGACGACACCAUCGUGCUGCUGUGCGGC